UACAGGGGGGGCAAGCGUUGUUCGGAAUUACUGGGCGUAAAGGGCGCGUAGGCGGCCAACUAAGUCACACGUGAAAAUCCCCAGGCUUAACCUGGGAACUGCGUGUGAUACUGGAUGGCUUGAAUCCGGGAGAGGGACGUGGAAUUCCAGGUGUAGCGGUGAAAUGCGUAGAUAUCUGGAGGAACACCGGUGGCGAAGGCGACGUCCUGGACCGGCAUGAC
rnacentral:rRNA from 1 species